rnacentral:rRNA from 1 species
CAGUAGCCGCGGUAAUACGGAGGGAGCUAGCGUUGUUCGGAAUUACUGGGCGUAAAGCGCACGUAGGCGGCUUUGUAAGUCAGAGGUGAAAGCCUGGAGCUCAACUCCAGAACUGCCUUUGAGACUGCAUCGCUUGAAUCCAGGAGAGGUGAGUGGAAUUCCGAGUGUAGAGGUGAAAUUCGUAGAUAUUCGGAAGAACACCAGUGGCGAAGGCGGCUCACUGGACUGGUAUUGACGCUGAGGUGCGAAAGCGUGGGGAGCAAACAGGAUUAGAUACCCCGGUAGUCCCUGUCUCUUAUAC